rnacentral:rRNA from 1 species
AUUGAACGCUGGCGGCAGGCCUAACACAUGCAAGUCGAGCGGAUGAAGGGAGCUUGCUCCCGGAUUCAGCGGCGGACGGGUGAGUAAUGCCUAGAAAUCUGCCUGGUAGUGGGGGAUAACGUCCGGAAACGGGCGCUAAUACCGCAUACGUCCUGAGGGAGAAAGUGGGGGAUCUUCGGACCUCACGCUAUCAGAUGAGCCUAGGUCGGAUUAGCUAGUUGGUGGGGUAAAGGCCUACCAAGGCGACGAUCCGUAACUGGUCUGAGAGGAUGAUCAGUCACACUGGAACUGAGACACGGUCCAGACUCCUACGGGAGGCAGCAGUGGGGAAUAUUGGACAAUGGGCGAAAGCCUGAUCCAGCCAUGCCGCGUGUGUGAAGAAGGUCUUCGGAUUGUAAAGCACUUUAAGUUGGGAGGAAGGGCAGUAAGUUAAUACCUUGCUGUUUUGACGUUACCAACAGAAUAAGCACCGGCUAACUUCGUG